UUUAUACUCCCUCGGUUCGGAAUUACUUGUUGUAGAAAUGGAUGUAUCUAGAUGUAUUUUAGUUCUAUAUACAUCCAUUUCCGAGACAAGUAAUUCCGAACGGAGGGAGUAGAAG
rnacentral:pre_miRNA from 1 species